AGCGGGCGUGCGGCCGUCUGGUCUCCGGUCUGUGUGGUAUUGCGUAACUGUCGGUCGGUGCGGUAGUGCGUGGAUAUAUACAAGUACGAGAAUGGAGCUGUUGGAUUACAAAUACCAGCAGUCAGAUCCACACAGACAAGGCCGAGGCUCAGAUGAUAUUUCCUGUCAACCUAGACAUACCGGACUUCUCUGCUAUGUCCUUAUGUAGAAGAAUGAGUGGCGCUGGCGCGACAAGAUAUGCAUUAUGUGGACCUCCAUACAGGCUCGCCUCCACAUACUUAUAGAGUAAUCAUUGAGGCCUUUAUUUUGCAAUGUAACAAAAAGUAUGGAUUUCUUGUUAUAUGGAAUGUAGUAGUCCAGAACCCAGUUUUUAUAGUUUUAAUAAGUAAUGGUUGUUUGACUUACAUAUAUAUAUUAUUGAAUUGAAGAGUGCGUCCUAAAAAAGGUUUCGUUUUGUGUUAAGAAAAUAAUUUACUUUGUAAUAAAACGUCAAUUAACUGUUAAUAUUAUGAUUCUAAUAGGAAAGAACUUCACAAUUUCACUAAGGUGUUCUGUUGUAUCUUAUUAUGAUGUGUCAUGUUUUUUCCAGUUAAUAACCUCAUUAAAUAUUAGUACUAUUAUCUCUCCAACUGUUGGUAUUUUUGUCUUUUAUAUUAUUUAGAUACAUAACUAACAAAUAUGUAGGCUGCCAAUUAUACUCCUUAUUUUUUUAUGUGCCCAUAAUGAAUGCCAUUGGUACAAAAAUGGUAUGAAUAAACGGCCAUUGCCUAUUUCUA